UAGCUCUCGGGAGUCACUGAAGUUGGCGAAAUUCAAAUGAGCACAAGUAGGCGCAUUCUGCACCCCGCGGACGGGCGACGAGUCCAGUAACAGGAAACGUCCGUGAAAACCAGCGAGAGGACAUGCUGUCCGCCGCGUCCCACGUGUACGUUCACAGCACCUCGAGGCGCUUGGACGCGUCCUCGCCAGGCGGAUAGGGAAGGGGUGCAGGCCAGACCCUUCCCUGGGUGACACCGAGAGAGACUCUCGCAGCUCUGCUCCUGUCCCAGCUGCAAAUGAGCCAAUGUCCAUCUGCACAAAGUGGCUGGACUCUACCGUCUAGAACACGGGACUGUUCAGCUCUAAGUUUCAACGUGGUUACAUCUCAAAACCAAAACGAAAUGUUCAGUGAGGCCGGCAUUGUCCUCCUGGUCCCUCUGUCUACUGAUUCUUCUCAAGCGAGAUGGCUGCAGAACAGAGAGGCGGCCGUGUGUCCAAACCCCACAGUUGUACAGACGCAGGACGGGCCUGCCUCUCCGACGCCAGGGCGCCCCAGCUCUCCAGCGACGCCUUCCUCCUUCCCGGUAAACGGUGUUGAUAAUGGAGGAUGAGACGGGACUGAAACACUGUACGCUUUCGUAGAGACGCCAGCGAACAGCCGGAGGUGAGGCCUACUCCAGCAUCCCGCCAGCACUGCGUCCCGCGUGACCAUAACAGCAGGCCUGUCCUUCCCGCCACACGCGUGCAACACACCGGAUCCCGCGACCUCAGCAGGAAAGAGAUCCCACCAAACAGCCACCUGGAGACACUCGGGAAAUCAGGCCUGGAGGAGGUCCCGGGGUCCGGGCGGUGAGUGUCCUGCGCUUCUCUGCUCGCAGGCGAGCCCAGCAGCACCAAGACCUCGGGCGUCUCCCAACAACGGUGCAGUGCUUGCCCGGAGGGGGUGGGCUAACUGUUGGCUAUUUAGUUCAACUCUCCGGUUUUCCGUAAAUGCUAACCGCCUGGUUCCCCGUGGAGAGCAGGACUGAAGGGAGCAGGGUGAGGCAGAGACGGUCUCCAGGGCAGAGCCACAGGUGGGCCAGGAUGGGUGAGCCUCUCCCACUGGAGAAGCUGGCCUCACCGACCAGCUCGCACCUGAGGGGCUGCUCCAGCAGCAGACCAGCCGAGAUGGAGACACUGGGAGGCCAACUCCCACCCAUCCCCACCCGGCGGGAAGCGUCGAUCAGGUCUUGCCUGCACUGUCCAGCAUCGCCUUUUUAUCUCUCGCGGAGUUCCCAAGGCGGCAAAGGGAGGGAGCUCCAUCCCGGCCUCUGAAAAGCCGUUUCUGUACAGUGACUCCCUGGAAAAGAAAACAAACCCUUAAGUUCAAUGUGUCAAGUUCCUUUAAAAACGGCUGCGCGUUAAGUAGCCCGAACAUGCUGUCAUGUGGUGUUAAUUCAGAUUAUUACAGCUCUAUAACUGACCCUACUUGAUCGGGGGUGUCUGACAGCGCCCACCCCUGAGUUGCAAAUAUUUAGAAUCGAUUCCAGAAAAUCACUUCCCAGAGUUCUGAGUACAACUGGUAUUGAUUUCAUUGCUUCUCCCCAAUAAGCGGAGUAUUUUGAAUGCUUCAGUUCCUGGGACUUGGUGCCACAUAGACCUGACAGUGGCGGCUCAGGGCAGAAGGCCCUCAGUGCAGGGAACUCCACAGACCACCCCGAAGACACAAAUUCCCUCGGCGCUCGCGCCCGGGGCUGCGUCAUCCAUCCCAAGCUCGGAUGCUCCUUCACACGGUCGUGGGUCAGAUGGCCAGCCAAGCCCGCCCACGGCGCAGGCCGCAGGGUCACCUUUCCCCCAUGGACGGUCUCGCAAAUGGUACAGAGAAAGCUAACCUAACAUGGGGGCCUUGAACACACCCCCGUCCGGGUCGCAGCAGGAUUAAGGAGGAAAUGCCCCACCAGGCUCAGCAGGGUGCUUGCCCCCCCCCUCGGCCUUCAGGACCAUCGGGUGGCAUCCCUGCUGUGUCACUGGCGUCGUGGGUGUGAUCAGCACAGCGGAGCCGGGGGCCUGCGUGAGGGGCCGCGCUGCCCAGCUGCUCUGGGGACAGGGCUCUGCCGUCUCCUCCACUUUGGUAAGGACGCAGUCGUGGGGACGACACAAAGGCGCAUGUGCCACUCCCUCUGGACCCGGUCCUCAGCCCCACCAGGAGGCGGGGCCAAGCCGGCGGGAAUGUCCCCACAUCCAGUGGCUGUCGGGUCCAACCCAACAGGACCCAACACAACCUCUUUUCCAAAUGUCUUGUUGUCCCAGGGCUUUAAAUCUUUAACUACGGUCCCAAAUUCCCGCCAACUGUUUCAGCCAAAAACUGGAAUCCAGCUUCACUACUGCCACUCUGUCCCCUUCCAGAGCUGGUUAGUCUCCAAGUCCUGCUGGCCGACUUCUCGCCACCCUUCCUCCACCCCAUUUCCCUGGACCUGGCCUCUCUCUCCCGCUCUCCACUCUCCGGGAAGGCAGCCCUUUGGAGAGCCCAGCGGGGGACGGCCACUUCCACUGCCUUGAGCUGAGGAAGCCCACUCUUGAGGAAUCAGACUUGUUGGAGACCCCGCAUCGCCACAUCCCUCCCCACCUGCAGCUUCAACCCUCAACCCUCGGUAUCUGCCCUCCUCCCCUUCCCCGCUGCCUCCUCCCCCCCCCCUGCCAGGACCAGGCCCUCUGCAAAUAUCCAUCCCUGAAUGAUACACACACUAAUGUAAUGACGUGACGGUGGGAGGUGUGGGCUGGGGAGCAGCGAGGCCGUCGGAGGGCAGACAGACUCGGGGGGCCUCUGCUCUUUGCAUUUAUGAGAAAGAAAGUUCACGUGUCAGGCCGAGACAGAGCGGAAACUGUCCACGUCCUCGUUGCAGACGGGCCAGAGUGACCCAUUCUCCUCAAUCCUGUGACCCUAAGCUGAGUCUAAAGCUGGAGGCCCUGCUGGCUGCUGGGAGUCUCAGCAUCUCCCCUCGGCCCCCACAGCUGCCGACACUGGUCCCGGAGCCUUCACACCGCGGCUCCCAAGUCCUCCAUUGUUGGAAUUCUACGGCGAUCCCAGAUCCCGGAGGCCAGGCACAGGCUGGGAAAGCCAAGGCAGGGGCUGACUUUCAGCCCCACAGGUCACACUCUGGGCUACACAGGGGCCCCAGGAAUCCUGGGAGUUCUCAGAGGCCUGGGCCCUCCCUGACCUACCCCUCCCAGAUCUUCUCCUGUAUUUCCCGUCCUUCUUCAUGCCAAACGGGUUUUCAGUACACAAGCUGUCCAGCUGCUCCGUGCUUUUGAUUUAAAAAAAAAAAAACUUCCUGUCCUUAAAUUGGAGUGAAAUUUCAUUCAUUCUUAACCUAAUUCUAUAUCUUGGCUCUGUUUGCUUUUUUUUGAACUAUGGUAAAAUGUUCAAGCUCUUUGACCCUGAGUUUCUGUUGGGAAAAAAGAUGGUUAAUACCUCCCCACAGUUUUGUUGGAAAAAUCAGAGACAAUCAUAGAAACCACACGUUUUAUUUGGAGUCUGGCAUAUUGACCUUACUUAACAAGCAUUCAUACUUGUUAUUGUGGUUUCAAGCGUCUCUUUAAAUGUUGUUUCAUCAUCUUUCUAACCAGAUAAUAAUUUCCAUGAAGGUAGGAAUCAGAUCAUACAAAAAACAUUGUUAUUUUAAGAUUGAUGGCUUAUCAUUAUUUCUGUGUCCUCCCCAUCACACCUGGAGUAAUGUCCAGUAAAUAUUUACUAGAGAAUUCAACAGACUCUUCCAGCUUGUUCUCUGGAUAAAUCUAUAGAUGCAUGAAGUCUAUAGAAAAAAAGAAUUCAGAGGUUUGCACUGAACUAUAAAUUCAAAGGGUAUUACAGCAGAGUGGUAGGGAAGUUGGAAAAGAAUGACUUUCUUUCUAUCAAGACAGAUGUGCUUGGCGCAAAGCCCAUAUUUCGGGAAAACAAAUGACAAUGGUAUUGAUUGCCGUAACAAUCGUGCGGUUUUUGAGAGCUGGAGAUUGCACCUAAAGGUAUGUAUUACUUCAAUCGUUUGCAGGUGUGCUGUACUUAAUUCAUUAAAGAUGCAUUUCAGAGUCAUUUUGAAAAUAUUACCUCAUUGAUGUGGGCGAAAGGUUGCCAGGAAGUGUGAAGUGCAUAGACCUGAACCCACCUGAUCAGCAAAACCCUAGCAUCACCUGUGGUUUCUGGAGGUUUCCCCUGAGACGUGGGUGGAUUGGAAUUUUGAGUAAGAACAUCUAUUAACUCAUCCGUGACCACCUAUUUGCUGAAGGACCCUGGCCCCUGGUCAGCUCAGAUGGCCUUCUUAAAAAAAAUUCUUUUUGCCAAAUCUGUAUUUGAAAAGAAAACCACAGUUCUGGUUAGCAAAUCUGUAUGAAUAAACGCAUAGGUACCUUAUUCUAUUCGGCUGUAUUUUUCAUAGAGAGAAAAAUACUCCCAAGACUUAAGUCUGAGUUAUGCUUUGGUAUUUCUAUUCGGUAAAUUGUUGGGCAACCUGGAGAGUUUCACUUUUUUCAAAUUUAACUCUUUAUGCGACUGGCAUGACCUGGGGGGACUGCUCUGGAGGCAGUUUCUUCUUCGCAAAAGGAGAAAUUAGAAUGCCAUGUCUGCAAAAUAUUUUGGGCAAGGUUAUCUCCCACACUUAACAGGCUGUAGAUGGAAUCUGUCCCGGGAAUAGAUAUAUCCUCAUGUUUUUGAAUUUAUGAAUAAAAUGCACAAUACUGUUGGGAUCUGACACAUUCAGAUUGUUGACAUCGUUCUCAUUCAUCCUGAGAAUACAUCCCAUCCCUGCCAGGGAGCUUCACGGGGGCGAGAAAGUCUCCUUCAGUUCCCCAGCGACAUCGUUCUUCAUCAUGAAGUUAACUGCAAAGUCAGGCCAUCCGUCCCACAUCCCUCCAUUACAGUGAGUAUCUGAUGGGCUCGGCCCAGUAGGUCCUGCUAGCCGCUCUUACAAACUCACCCCUCCUUCGGCUGCCUGACCCCAGGGGGAGCCCAGGCUGACAGGAGACUCUGUGCUUAGGCUCCUUGCUCCCCAUGGCUCCGCGUCUUCUAGGGCCUUCCACAUUCGGCCAGUAGGUGAGGAGAGUUGGGCCUGAAAGUGGUGCCUGUCAUUUCUGCUCACGGUUCCUAGGCCAGAAUCAGCGGGGGAGCCCACCCUGGUGCAGGGGUGCGCCAGCAGCGAGAAGGGCCCCGGCCCUGGCACUGCCCGCCCAACGCCGCUCUUGAGCGCAGGAUGCAAGUGUGCAGGCUUGUUUCAAACGCUUGUAGCGAGACGUACACAAUAUGUGCAAAUCCUUGUGUUUCUUUCUCUUGGCAAAAUCAUAUAUGUAACAUUUAUGCAUAUGUUCGUGUAUAUUAUAAAUAUAUGAAGAUAUUAUAAAAACAUGAUAUAUUGAAAAAAUACAUAUGUAGUUGUCAAAAAUUCUCAGUUGUAAUUAGGUUUAAAACUGCAAGGAACCUAGUUUAAUAUUGUUAUAUUAUGAUUUACAAUAAAAAAUACGUAUU